GGCAAGGAAGGGGGAGUCCUGGGCACUAGCUACAGGAAAGUAAAAGCCUGGUUGCAGCUUCUUCUUUCCUGCAUUACCUUUGUUGUGUCCUUGCCUGCCCUUAAAGUUGGUCUAUGCGUGCCUACCCAAGACCUGGUGCUGGGGACCUAAGAGAGGGCCAGCAGGCCUUGCCAUUGCCUAUGGGAGGAGGGAAAGGAGAGCCUUGGCAGAGGAGGGCACUACCCCAGCUCUGCCAGUAGAGGGACCCCACCGCCCCAGGAUGGCCUUGCUCCUUUUAUGUUUUGCAAAAAGUUGCUGUCACCAUUAAAUGUGGCCACAAGGGGGUGGCACUGCCAUGACCUCCACUUCACUGUUAGGGCCUAAGCUGUAGAGAUGAACCCCUAGGGUUAGGCUGCAAAGAAGUUCCAGGUGGAAGGCAAAGUCCAGUCAUGGUGAUUUGAGUCCCUUUCAGGAGAUUCACAAAUGGUAAAAUAUGGUGUGAAAAUCACUGCCUGGCUCAAAAAUCAGGAGCUAGGGUUCUGGUCCUGACUUGUCUCUAACUUGCCGUUUGUCUGUGUGGAAGCUCCUUGGACUUCAUGUUCAUUUUUCAGAUGCACCAUGCACUGCACCUACAACCCCAUCAAGUUGCAUUCAUCUGUACAUCUGUCUGUUGUAGGGCUCAAAUGAGGCCGUGGGUGUGAGAGUCCUUUCAGUCUUUUGAUGCCCUGAGUGUGAGGUCACUAAACAUUUGGGGAGAUGGGUGAGGGGAGGUUCUCUGGCCAUCCAGGAGUGGGGAGCUGACAGGUACUAAUGUGAGAAAUGCCGCUGGUUUUGUUCCUGCACUUGGUUUAGGCCAAGGGAGGGGACAAGAUGAGAGUGGGGGUGGAGGAG
rnacentral:lncRNA from 1 species